UCGUGUUGUAUCAAAAAAAGUCAGGAGACUUUUUAACUGUAUCCUUGGCAUAUCCUGGGCACAAGUUCCACCCAUAUUUAUGCACAAUGAUGACAAGGACAGGUUAAUUCCCUACGUUCUCUAUUAAUCUUAUUACCAGGCAAGCACACACUUCCCACUGCACUACUGAAUCCUAAUACCUAGCAAAUCCUUUUGCUGAAGUCACAUCUGCUUACCGGGUGGAAACUUGGGCAAGCACCAUUCCCUUCUGUUUUCUGAGGAGGGAAGCCUAUGAAUGCAGGCAGAAAGGAGACAGAAUGAGCUCCAACAGACAUCACGUCUCUGUGAGAAUCCUUCUGUCUGCUUCCCACCACCCUCAUUUUCUUCUCAAAGAAUAACUGCAACACAGUAUCUUGAACAAAGAAAAGCGACAGACCAUAAACUUACAUCAAAUACUUGCUUUUUGAUAACACACACCGGAAGAUUUGCUUACGGAAAAGUCAGUCUGUUUUUCACCAGGAUGGCAUUAGGUAGGACAGGUUAAUACAAUUAUCCCAGAUCCCAUUCUCCAGACUGACACAGCUCUGCAACCUCUGCUGUCACAGAAUGCACAUACUGUAGUGAGAUUGGAUACUGUGCACAUUAGAAAACAGAGCUCCUGCCAAAUGCCCGUUAUGAGCUUGUUCAUCAACACUUCAGAAACAAUGUAAAAGAACCAAGGUACCUUCUGGGCCACCAUGCAUCUCAGCCUACCUGCUUAUAAGACUGAGAAGAGGAGGUUCAAACAAAGGUUCAAACAAAAUGGAGUACGGCCUGCACACCCUGGAAGCCGUGACUCAGCGAAAAACGCAGCCUCAGCAAAGAGCGCCUCACUUCCAAGAAGCAGAAGUUGAAAAAACAUUUCUAGGAAAGACCCGCAGUCUGCGGUUAUCAGAAGAGGCCAGAUCGAGGGUCAAGAGCUUGUAAUUUUCCAUUGUUUGUACCCUAUAUCUUUUGUGUGGCGUGUAAACCCUAUAAAAACCCUUUCCUACUGAGCACCAGGGUUGCCUCCUCUGACUCUUGCACGAGUUACGAGACGCCCCGGAGUUCUGAAAUAAACCUCACCUCGUGCGUUUGCAUCAA